rnacentral:rRNA from 1 species
CUACGGGUGGCUGCAGUGGGGAAUAUUGCACAAUGGGCGCAAGCCUGAUGCAGCCAUGCCGCGUGUAUGAAGAAGGCCUUCGGGUUGUAAAGUACUUUCAGCGGGGAGGAAGGGAGUAAAGUUAAUACCUUUGCUCAUUGACGUUACCCGCAGAAGAAGCACCGGCUAACUCCGUGCCAGCAGCCGCGGUAAUACGGAGGGUGCAAGCGUUAAUCGGAAUUACUGGGCGUAAAGCGCACGCAGGCGGUUUGUUAAGUCAGAUGUGAAAUCCCCGGGCUCAACCUGGGAACUGCAUCUGAUACUGGAAAGCUUGAGUCUCGUAGAGGGGGGUAGAAUUCCAGGUGUAGCGGUGAAAUGCGUAGAGAUCUGGAGGAAUACCGGUGGCGAAGGCGGCCCCCUGGACGAAGACUGACGCUCAGGUGCGAAAGCGUGGGGAGCAAGCAGGAUUAGAUACCCUCGUAGUC